CAGUCGCCGCGGGAAUACGAAGGGUGCAAGCGUUACUCGGAAUUACUGGGCGUAAAGCGUGCGUAGGUGGUGGUUUAAGUCCGUUGUGAAAGCCCUGGGCUCAACCUGGGAAUUGCAGUGGAUACUGGGUCACUAGAGUGUGGUAGAGGAUAGUGGAAUUUCCGGUGUAGCAGUGAAAUGCGUGGAGAUCGGAAGGAACAUCUGUGGCGAAGGCGGCCAUCUGGGACAACACUGACGCUGAGGCACGAAAGCGUGGGGAGCAAACAGGAUUAGAGACCCGUGUAGUCCCUGUCUCUUAUAC
rnacentral:rRNA from 1 species